AUUUAUAUAGUUUAAUUAAUUUAAAACAUUACAUUUUCAUUGUAAAAUUAGAAAUAAUUCUUAUAAAUA
rnacentral:tRNA from 1 species